CAGCCGCCGCGGUAAUACGUAGGGGGCAAGCGUUAUCCGGAAUUACUGGGUGUAAAGGGAGCGUAGACGGUUAAACAAGCCUGAAGUGAAAUGCCGGGGCUCAACCCCGGAGCUGCUUUGGGAACUGUAGAACUGGAGUGUCGGAGGGGUAAGCGGAAUUCCCAGUGUAGCGGUGAAAUGCGUAGAUAUUAGGAAGAACACCGGUGGCGAAGGCGGCCUGCUGGACGAAAACUGACGUUGAGGCUCGAAGACGUGGGGAGCAAACAGGAUUAGAUACCCCCGUAGUCCCUGUCUCUUAUAC
rnacentral:rRNA from 1 species